rnacentral:lncRNA from 1 species
ACAUAAUAUUUUUUUAAGAUAAUAUCUUUAAAAAAAUAAAACCUUGGUUUUUUUCUUGAAUUUCAGAAGUUCAUUGUGUGAUGGUGAUUGGAUUUAACCAAAUAUUGAUCAUCACAACUGGCUUUUACACCUUCAGCUGAAGUGCAUUUAUGUACAUAUUGUACUUCUAAGUUCUUUAGAAGGAGCUCACAACCAAGUUUGCCUCGAGUCUCAGAGAAGACGAGACUUGGACUCUUGAGCAAUACUGGAACAGUUAAGACUGAGGAACCUGGGAGAAGCCAUUGGAAUAAUGAAAGCGGGCAAAAUAGUCCUGUUUUGGUAACAU